rnacentral:rRNA from 1 species
AGGGAGGCAAAGCCGCGAGGCAGAGCAAAUCCCUAAAAGCCGUCCCAGUUCGGAUCGCAGGCUGCAACCCGCCUGCGUGAAGUUGGAAUCGCUAGUAAUCGCGGAUCAGCAUGCCGCGGUGAAUACGUUCCCGGGCCUUGUACACACCGCCCGUCACACCAUGAGAGUCGGGAACACCCGAAGUCCGUAGCCUGACCGCAAGGGGGGCGCGGCCGAAGGUGGGUUCGAUAAUUGGGGUGAAGUCGUAACAAGGUACC